UUAAGGAAUUCGGCAAAUAGAUUCUCUGCCUGUUUAUUAAAAACAUGGCUUUUUGUUAAUAAUUUAAAGUCUGACCUGCCCAAUGAUGAGUUUAAUGGCCGCGGUACUCUGACCGUGCAAAGGUAGCAUAAUCAUUAGUUUUUUAAUUGAAAGCUGGAAUGAAUGGUUGGACAAGGGAAUAUCUGUCUUUUCUUUAUUAGUAGAAUUUUAUUUUUAGGUAAGAAAGCUUAAAUUUAUUUGAGGGACGAGAAGACCCUAUAGAAUUUUAUAAGGUUUUUUUAUAUUUAUUUUAGGAUUUGUUAAGUUUAUUUGAGAAGUACUUAUUUUGUUGGGGUGAUGGAAAAAUUUGAUAAACUUUUUUUUAUUGAUUUCACUUAUUUGUGAAUAAUUGAUCCACGAAUUGUGAUUAUAAGAUUAAAUUACCUUAGGGAUAACAGCGUAAUUGGUUUGGAGAGUUCAUAUCGAUAAACUAGUUUGCGACCUCGAUGUUGGAUUAAAAUAAACUUAUGGUGUAGGGGCUAUAAGGUUAAGUCUGUUCGACUUUUAAAAUUUUACAUGAUCUGAGUUUAAACCGGCGUGAGCCAGGUCGGUUUCUAUCUUU
rnacentral:rRNA from 1 species